rnacentral:rRNA from 1 species
UACAUGGGGUGCAAACGUUGCUCGGAAUUAUCGGGCGUAAAGCGCACGUAGGCGGUUUGUUAAGUCGGAUGUGAAAUCCCUCGGCUCAACUGAGGAAGUGCAUCCGAAACUGGCAAGCUUGAGUACGAAAGAGGAUCGCGGAAUUCCCGGUGUAGAGGUGAAAUUCGUAGAUAUCGGGAGGAAUACCGGUGGCGAAGGCGGCGAUCUGGGUCGAUACUGACGCUGAGGUGCGAAAGCGUGGGGAGCAAACAGG